rnacentral:rRNA from 1 species
UACGUAGGGGGCAAGCGUUGUCCGGAAUCAUUGGGCGUAAAGAGCGCGCAGGCGGUCGAAUAAGUCGAAUGUGAAAGCCCCCGGCUUAACUGGGGAGGGUCAUUCGAUACUGCUCGACUUGAAGGCAGGAGAGGGUAGUGGAAUUCCCGGUGUAGUGGUGAAAUGCGUAGAUAUCGGGAGGAACACCAGUGGCGAAGGCGACUACCUGGCCUGUUCUUGACGCUGAGGCGCGAAAGCUGGGGGAGCAAACGGG